GUAAGGAAUAUUGGUCAAUGGGCGCAAGCCUGAACCAGCCAUGCCGCGUGCAGGACGACUGCCCUACGGGUUGUAAACUGCUUUUGUACGGGAACAAACGCCACUACGUGUAGUGGCCUGAGCGUACCGUAAGAAUAAGGAUCGGCUAACUCCGUGCCAGCAGCCGCGGUAAUACGGAGGAUCCGAGCGUUAUCCGGAUUUAUUGGGUUUAAAGGGUGCGUAGGCGGCCGUUUAAGUCAGUGGUGAAAGACGGCAGCUCAACUGUCGCAGUGCCUUUGAUACUGAACGGCUUGAAUGCUGAUGAAGAUGGCGGAAUGAGACAAGUAGCGGUGAAAUGCAUAGAUAUGUCUCAGAACACCGAUUGCGAAGGCAGCUAUCUAAGCAGUGAUUGACGCUGAUGCACGAAAGCGUGGGGAUCGAACAGGAUUAGAUACCCUGGUAGUCC
rnacentral:rRNA from 1 species